CGUAUGAAGUACGUUUUCACCCUCGGGUGACAGGGAGACAGGUGGUGCAUGGUUGUCGUCAGCUCGUGUCGUGAGAUGUUGGGUUAAGUCCCGCAACGAGCGCAACCCCUACGUUUAGUUGCUAACGCGUGAAGGCGAGCACUCUAGACGAACUGCCGUUGACAAAACGGAGGAAGGUGGGGAUGACGUCAAAUCAUCAUGCCCCUUAUGUUCUGGGCUACACACGUGCUACAAUGGCCGGUACAGACGGACGCAAAGCCGCGAGGUGGAGCAAAUCCUAAAAAGCCGGUCUCAGUUCGGAUUGCAGGCUGCAAUUCGCCUGCAUGAAGUCGGAAUCGCUAGUAAUCGCAGGUCAGCAUACUGCGGUGAAUACGUUCCCGGGCCUU
rnacentral:rRNA from 1 species